GACGAACGCUGGCGGCGUGCUUAACACAUGCAAGUCGAACGGAAGGGCCCUGCUUUUGUGGGGUGCUCGAGUGGCGAACGGGUGAGUAACACGUGAGUAACCUGCCCUUGACUUUGGGAUAACUUCAGGAAACUGGGGCUAAUACCGGAUAGGAGCUCCUGCUGCAUGGUGGGGGUUGGAAAGUUUCGGCGGUUGGGGAUGGACUCGCGGCUUAUCAGCUUGUUGGUGGGGUAGUGGCUUACCAAGGCUUUGACGGGUAGCCGGCCUGAGAGGGUGACCGGCUACAUUGGGACUGAGAUACGGCCCAGACUCCUACGGGAGGCAGCAGUGGGGAAUAUUGCACAAUGGGCGGAAGCCUGAUGCAGCAACGCCGCAUGCGGGAUGACGGCCUUCGGGUUGUAAACCGCUUUCGCCUGUGACGAAGCGUGAGUGACGGUAAUGGGUAAAGAAGCACCGGCUAACUACGUG
rnacentral:rRNA from 1 species